rnacentral:rRNA from 1 species
GUGGGGAAUCUUGCGCAAUGGGGGGAACCCUGACGCAGCGACGCCGCGAGCGGGACGGAGGCCUUCGGGUCGUAAACCGCUAUCAGCAGGGAAGAGUCAAGACUGUACUUGCAGAAGAAGCCCCGGCUAACUACGUGCCAGCAGCCGCGGUAAUACGUAGGGGGCGAGCGUUAUCCGGAUUCAUUGGGCGUAAAGCGCGCGUAGGCGGCCCGGCAGGCCGGGGGUCGAAGCGGGGGGCUCAACCCCCCGAAGCCCCCGGAACCUCCGCGGCUUGGGUCCGGUAGGGGAGGGUGGAACACCCGGUGUAGCGGUGGAAUGCGCAGAUAUCGGGUGGAACACCGGUGGCGAAGGCGGCCCUCUGGGCCGAGACCGACGGUGAGGCGCGAAAGCUGGGGGAGCGAAAAAGGAUUAGAUACCCUGGUAGUCCCAGCCGUAAACGAACAAAAAAGGAGGUGUGGGGGGACGAUCUCUCCGUGCCGCAGCCAAAACACUAAGAAUCCCGCCCGGGGAGUAGGACCGCAAGGAUAAAAAUCAAAGGAAUUGACGGGGGGCCGCACAAGCAGCAGAGCAUGUGGCUUAAUUUGAAGCAACGCGAAGAACCUUACCAGGGCUUGACAUAUGGGUGAAGCGGGGGGGACCCCGUGGCCGAGAGGAGCCCAUACAGGUGGUGCAUGGCUGUCGUCAGCUCGUGUCGUGAGAUGUUGGGUUAAGUCCCGCAACGAGCGCAACCCCCGCCGCGUGUUGCCAUCGGGUGAUGCCGGGAACUCACGCGGGACCGCCGCCGUCAAGGCGGAGGAGGGGGGGGAGGACGUCAAGUCAUCAUGCCCCUUAUGCCCUGGGCUGCACACGUGCUACAAUGGCCGGUACAGAGGGAUGCCACCCCGCGAGGGGGAGCGGAUCCCGGAAAGCCGGCCCCAGUUCGGAUUGGGGGGUGCAACCCGCCCCCACGAAGUCGGAGUUGCUAGUAAUCGCGGAUCAGCAUGCCGCGGUGAAAAAGGUCCCGGGCCUUGC